UACAUGUGGGGCAAGCGUUGCUCGGAAUUACUGGGCAUAAAGGGCGCGUAGGCGGCCUGUUAAGUCGGACGUGAAAUCCCCGGGCUCAACCCGGGAACUGCGUCCGAUACUGGCAGGCUUGAAUCCGGGAGAGGGAUGUGGAAUUCCAGGUGUAGCGGUGAAAUGCGUAGAUAUCUGGAGGAACACCGGUGGCGAAGGCGGCAUCCUGGACCGGCAUUGACGCUGAGGCGCGAAAGCCAGGGGAGCAAACGGG
rnacentral:rRNA from 1 species